rnacentral:lncRNA from 1 species
CGGGGCAUGACGGGCACCUCGGCUGGCACGUACUCCACCCUCCGGGGCUCGGGGCCUGAGGAGCAGACGGCGGCCCUGUGCAGAUGCUCUGCGUGCGGGAGGCUGUGCUUUCAGUCAUUAUUUGGAUUUCGUUUUCCACAUGAAAAUAUUUAGAGAUCCAGCUCUUGGAAGCCAAGGAGAAACUGGCUUUUAAGUACCAUGGCUACUGUGACGUAUCCUGACUAAUGCCGACAGCACAGGGAGCCUUUGCCUGCCAGAGGAAGCGGUGAGGAAGAGGUGGUGCGUCGUGCACUUCCUGUUGCUGUUUUAGGACAGCUUGGACGUAGUUUGUUCCAGGGAAGUGCUGCUGAACCAGGUAAACCCAGCUCCCCAUCUCCAGGAGCAGAGGCUGCAAGGACAGGGAGACAAUGAGGCAAUGGUGUGCUGGGGGAAUCGUGCCAAAGUGAAAGCAUCCUCUGAUAAUUUUUAAGUCAUUCUAGGAUCUUCAGGGCAUCAAAGUUUUGCCUGUGAGCCUCAAUUGGUCUAAUACAAAAAUACAGACUGUGG